rnacentral:rRNA from 1 species
GGGUUGUGAGGUUAAGCGACUAAGCGUACACGGUGGAUGCCCUGGCAGUCAGAGGCGAUGAAGGACGUGCUAAUCUGCGAUAAGCGCCGGUAAGGUGAUAUGAACCGUUAUAACCGGCGAUUUCCGAAUGGGGAAACCCAGUGUGACUCGUCACACUAUCAUUAACUGAAUCCAUAGGUUAAUGAGGCGAACCGGGGGAACUGAAACAUCUAAGUACCCCGAGGAAAAGAAAUCAACCGAGAUUCCCCCAGUAGCGGCGAGCGAACGGGGAGGAGCCCAGAGCCUGAAUCAGCAUGUGUGUUAGUGGAAGCGUCUGGAAAGGCGCGCGAUACAGGGUGACAGCCCCGUACACAAAAGCGCACAUGCUGUGAGCUCGAUGAGUAGGGCGGGACACGUGGUAUCCUGUCUGAAUAUGGGGGGACCAUCCUCCAAGGCUAAAUACUCCUGACUGACCGAUAGUGAACCAGUACCGUGAGGGAAAGGCGAAAAGAACCCCGGCGAGGGGAGUGAAAAAGAACCUGAAACCGUGUACGUACAAGCAGUGGGAGCACCCUUUGGGGUGUGACUGCGUACCUUUUGUAUAAUGGGUCAGCGACUUAUAUUCUGUAGCAAGGUUAACCGAAUAGGGGAGCCGGAGGGAAACCGAGUCUUAACCGGGCGUUAAGUUGCAGGGUAUAGACCCGAAACCCGGUGAUCUAGCCAUGGGCAGGUUGAAGGUUGGGUAACACUAACUGGAGGACCGAACCGACUAAUGUUGAAAAAUUAGCGGAUGACCUGUGGCU